UACGUAGGGGGCGAGCGUUGUCCGGAAUUAUUGGGCGUAAAGAGCGUGUAGGCGGUUCGGUAAGUCUGCCGUGAAAUCCUGGGGCUCAACCCCGGGCCUGCAUCCGAUACUCCCGGGCUGGAGGCAGGUAGGGGAGAUCGGAAUUCCUGGUGUAGCGGUGAAAUGCGCAGAUAUCGGGAGGAACACCGGUGGCGAAGGCGGUUCUCUGGGCCUUACCUGACGCUGAGGAGCGAAAGCGUGGGGAGCGAACAGG
rnacentral:rRNA from 1 species